rnacentral:rRNA from 1 species
UACGGGGGGGUAAGCGUUGUUCGGAAUUACUGGGCGUAAAGGGCUCGUAGGCGGCCAACUAAGUCAGACGUGAAAUCCCUCAGCUUAACUGGGGAACUGCGUCUGAUACUGGAUGGCUUGGAUUCGGGAGAGGAAUGCGGAAUUCCAGGUGUAGCGGUGAAAUGCGUAGAUAUCUGGAGGAACACCGGUGGCGAAGGCGGCAUUCUGGACCGACAUUGACGCUGAGACGAGAAAGCGUGGGGAGCGAACAGGA